rnacentral:rRNA from 1 species
ACGCUCGACACCUACUGGAGGCAGCAGUGGGGAAUAUUGGGCAAUGGGCGAAAGCCUGACCCAGCAACGCCGCGUGAGGGAAGAAGGUUUUCGGAUUGUAAACCUCUGUCCUCAGGGACGAAGGACGUGACGGUACCUGAGGAGGAAGCCCCGGCUAACUACGUGCCAGCAGCCGCGGUAAUCUGAGCGGGCUGGCAAGGC